rnacentral:rRNA from 1 species
GAGUUUGAUCGUGGCUCAGAUUGAACGCUGGCGGCAUGCCUUACACAUGCAAGUCGAACGGCAGCACGGGAGCUUGCUCCUGGUGGCGAGUGGCGAACGGGUGAGUAAUGCAUCGGAACGUAUCCUGGAGUGGGGGAUAACGUAGCGAAAGUUACGCUAAUACCGCAUAUUCUGUGAGCAGGAAAGCGGGGGACCUUCGGGCCUCGCGCUCUUGGAGCGGCCGAUGUCGGAUUAGCUAGUUGGUGAGGUAAGGGCUCACCAAGGCGACGAUCCGUAGCAGGUCUGAGAGGAUGAUCUGCCACACUGGAACUGAGACACGGUCCAGACUCCUACGGGAGGCAGCAGUGGGGAUUUUGGACAAUGGGGCAACCCUGAUCCAGCCAUGCCGCGUGAGUGAAGAAGGCCUCGGUGUAAG